rnacentral:rRNA from 1 species
CAGUAGCCGCGGUAAUACGAAGGGGGCUAGCGUUGUUCGGAUUUACUGGGCGUAAAGCGCACGUAGGCGGAUCGAUCAGUCAGGGGUGAAAUCCUGGAGCUCAACUCCAGAACUGCCUUUGAUACUGUCGAUCUCGAGUCCGGAAGAGGUGAGUGGAACUCCUAGUGUAGAGGUGGAAUUCGUAGAUAUUAGGAAGAACACCAGUGGCGAAGGCGGCUCACUGGUCCGGUACUGACGCUGAGGUGCGAAAGCGUGGGGAGCAAACAGGAUUAGAUACCCGUGUAGUCCCUGUCUCUUAUAC